GCGGCAGACGGGUGAGUAUCCAUGGGUAAGGGAAAAUCAAGUGGGGAAUAACUAGCCGAAAGGUUAGCUAAUACCGCGUACGCUUCCUAGACUGCGGUUUGGGAAGGAAAGCGAUACCGUGGGUAUCGCGCUCUUGGAUGGGCUCAUGCCCUAUCAGCUUGUUGGUGAGGUAACGGCUCACCAAGGCUUCCACGGGUAGCUGAUCUGAGAGGAUGAUCAGCCUCUCUGGCACUGCGACACGGCCCAGACUCCUACGGGAGGCA
rnacentral:rRNA from 1 species